GACGAACCGUGCGAACGUUAUUCGGAAUCACUGGGCUUAAAGCGCGUGUAGGCGGGCCGCCACGUCGGCUGCUGAAAUCCCCCGGCUCAACCGGGGAACGGGCACCGAUACGAGCGGCCUGGAGGGGGGUAGGGGGGCCUGGAACUUCCGGUGGAGCGGUGAAAUGCGUUGAGAUCGGAAGGAACGCCCGUGGCGAAAGCGAGGCCCUGGACCCUUACUGACGCUGAGACGCGAAAGCCAGGGGAGCGAACGGG
rnacentral:rRNA from 1 species